GACGAACGCUGGCGGCGUGCUUAACACAUGCAAGUCGAACGGGAAGGCCCUGCUGUUGUGGGGUGCUCAAGUGGCGAAAGGGUGAUUAACAAGUGGUUAACCUGCCCUGGACUAUGGGAUAACUUCAGGAAACUGGGGCUAGUACCGGAUAGGAGCUCCUGCUUCAUGGCGUGGGUUGGCAAGUUUCGACGGUUGGGGAUGUACUCGCGGCAGAUCAGCUUGCUGGUGAGGUACUAGAUUAGCAAGUCUUUGACCGGUAGCCGGGCUGAGAGGGUGACCGGACCGGUUGGGACUGAGAUACGGCACGGACCACUCCGGGACGCAGCGGUGCAGAGUAUUGCACUGUGGAAUGAAGCCUGAUGCAGUAAAGCCGCGUGCGGGAUAACGGCAUUCGGGUUGUAACCCGCAUUCGCCUGUGAUGAAGAGUGAAUGACAGUAAUAGGUAAAGAAGCACCGGCUAACUACGUG
rnacentral:rRNA from 1 species